UACGUAGGGUGCAAGCGUUGUCCGGAAUCAUUGGGCGUAAAGCGCGUGUAGGCGGCCCGGUAAGUCCGCUGUGAAAGUCGGGGGCUCAACCCUCGGAUGCCGGUGGAUACUGUCGGGCUAGAGUACGGAAGAGGCGAGUGGAAUUCCUGGUGUAGCGGUGAAAUGCGCAGAUAUCAGGAGGAACACCAAUUGCGAAGGCAGCUCGCUGGGACGUCACUGACGCUGAGACGCGAAAGCGUGGGGAGCAAACAGG
rnacentral:rRNA from 1 species